AUUGAACGCUGGCGGCAGGCCUAACACAUGCAAGUCGAACGAGUGGCGGACGGGUGAGUAAUGUCUGGGAAACUGCCUGAUGGAGGGGGAUAACUACUGGAAACGGUAGCUAAUACCGCAUACCAUCGGAUGUGCCCAGAUGGGAUUGGCUAGUUGGUGGGGUAAAGGCUCACCUAGGCGACGAUCCCUAGCUGGUCUGAGAGGAUGACCAGCCACACGGUAAGUGAGACACGGUCCAGCCGCAUCCGGGAGUCAGCAGUGGGGAAUAUUGCACAAUGGGCGCAAGCCUGAUGCAGCCAUGCCGGGUGUAUGAAGAAGGCCUUCGGGUUGUAAAGUACUUUCAGCGGGGAGGCGUUACCCGCAGAAGAAGCACCGGCUAACUCCGUGCCAGCAGCCGCGGUAAUUC
rnacentral:rRNA from 1 species